ensembl:lncRNA
AUUACAUUCCUCAGCCAGGCAGGGUUAAAGAAAAAAGAAAAAGGAGAGAGAGUGAGCAAGUGGGGAAGGGAGGGUUUGGAAUGUGCAGCCUCCAUCCCAGGCCCCAAUCUGCAGGGAACCCUGUCCUUUACCCCCAGACACCAGGGCCUUGCAGGGCUAUGGCUCAGUCCCAGCAGGCAGGCAUCCCUGGGAAGAUGUCCCUUAGCCCCUCUGUGAGCAGGACAUGGUCCUUGUCAUCACCCAGGCCUUUCCCUACAUCACAUGCCUCAAGUCCCCUUGCCCAUGGGAGGUUUCCAAAUGCAGCUACCAUCUUGUUUGUGAAGACCUAACUUUAUACAGAAAAACAACCACGCGUAGAUUCCCCCCAGAAUUUCUCCACCGCCAACCAAGGCUCACAUGGCUGAGAGGCCAUCUUACAAUCUGGCGUCAGCACCACCAGGGCUUUUGCUGUCACUUGCUCCUGCUCACUGAUGGGCUUCGUGCACAUGCAUACUGAACAUGCACCACCUCUGCUCUGGUCUCUGCUCUCUUCUCAUGGAUGGUGGAGGCAAAGAGCCCCCACCUACAGAGCCUUUACAGAUUUCACUUUCUCCUACUUCUUAAUUAAGCAAAAAUUAGGAGAAGAGGAAACCGCCUAUGCUAAACAGGCCUCCUCCUCAUUCCUUAAUGAGCACAGAAGUGGCAACCGUGCUACAUACAAUGCAGAGAUGAAGGAAAAGAAGAGCUCCAGAGAGGGAGCCACACGGCUGUGUUACAUCCACUGAGGCACGGGAAGUGUUCUGCAGCCACUGUCAGUCCCCCAGCCUCCACGUGGGAGGGCUCAGCCUUCUCCACUGAGCAUGGAAAGGAGGCUGGCAGACUCGGACUCCCCAACAGAAAUACGGGGACAGAGAAGGUGUCUCUUGUUUGCUCCCUGCUCAUGGAGGAACAGGAAUGCAAUACUGGGGACGCAGCUUCCCCUCGUCCCUCUCAACUGGGAUCCCCCCCCCCCUUAGGAUGUGCUCCUCCAUUUUCUGACUCCCUCUGGCUCGCCAGCAUGCAGACCCUGGCCUGGCUCAUGGUGUGCAAUCCAAUCUGAAAAUGCUCCUUUACCUAGAUUUAAUUUCCCAUAUGAUAGCUCUCCCCACCCCCACCCUUUGCUCCCAAGGUAACAGCUCAAGGCUUCAGGAAAAAAGAGAAAAAGGUCCCAUCCCCCAGCCUCCAACCCCCUUUCUUAGCAGCUGCAAGUGAAAAUACCAUAUCUGCUUCCAACUACACCACAAGUGACAGUCACCAACAUAUUGUUAUUUAAAGAUCAAUUCUGAAUGCAAUAUUGCUGUUCCUAGGCCUGCAUCAUCCCUGUGUCUCUCAGACCCACUUCAUGUUUGUUACUGACACAUGCAGAGAAAGAUUGUCUUUUAAAAUGUAUUGAUUAUUAUGUGCCUCCUUUUUUUAUGUAAAUGAAGGUAUCAGUAUUGCUUUAAUCAUAGCAGUAAUUCCUCUAAAAGCGAAAUACGAUGGAAUUGGAAAAAUCCAUUGAUAGGAAGCAGAAAUGAAAUUGCCCAUGAAUACACACGUAUCUAUUAAAGUCACUGAAUUCGUGACACAAUAACAUCCUUAGGUUCAUAAAACUAAUUUUUAAAGCAGACGCAAGAUAAUACUCAACUUGGUCAGGCUAUUUUUAAAGGUCAUGAUUGCUCUAAAGGAGGACAAGAGGGCUUUAGGAUGUGAAUAGGCCAGCUUUUUAUUUUACAACUUGGAAACACAAACCCACACUAGUGGCAGAAAGGGCAAUCCAUUUUGUACACUAAAGCAGUCAAAAUGGGGAACAAAACCCAACGAAUUUCCAUACAACCACUCAGCUUAAACACAAGCCCAACAAACAAACACGAGGUAGGGAUUUUUUUGGUCAAUUUCUACAUGAUCUCAAAUUUUUUGUGCACAUUUCAGCAUUUGUGGCAGGGUGUGUGUGUGUGUGUGUAAGGAAUCAGAGCAGGAGGGGGUGGUUCCCUGCCAGGAUAUAUUAAAUGUCUACAGAAUCCCAUCAUGGCAGGGGCUGGGUGUGCAACAGUAACUGAUCAUGAGGAUGUAUAAGGACUGGAACCAAAUGCUUUGACAAUAUUAUUGCACUGCUUUAUUUGUGCAGACAGUAGUGCAACAUUGUCAGAGCCAGCGAUACCAGCAGCCACUGUCACUUCUGCACAGCUGUCCUGCAUCCUUUUGUAAGGGACUGCUACAUUACAGUGUUAACCACAAUAACGUUUUUAUGUUUAGCCCGCAGUAAAACUCUGCAUGACAAAGUUUAUUUGCAAUCGUAAUUAGACAAGGUAAAAAACAACAACAACGAAAAGUUAGUAAAAAAGAAAAAAAUGAAAGGGAGGGAGAAAGAGCAAGGGAGAGAGCACUGUUAGCCUGGCUUGUUAACCAAGGCAUUCAGGGCUUUUCCUACAUGCCCAGUGUAUCAAGGCAUGGUAUGUUAUGAAGGUUUUAUACAAUAAAAUAUUUUGCUACAGUAGUGGAGAAUAAAAGAAGGGGCCUAACUCAGCAUCCCCAAAUGUACACGCUUCCAUAAAAACCAGACCAGUUGCUCAAUGAAUCUGAACUAUGCAAUUUAAAUAAAUCACAGAGUGCCAGCCCCUUCCUGUUCCUUCACAAGUUUUCUUCAUUGCGCUGUGUAUUUUGCAGUGGUUGCCUAACACAGACCAAAAAGCCUAGAAUGGUGUAAAUACACACUGCCUGGAUUUGCUAUGAAGGAAGAAUGUUACAGAGAUUAUUAGACUUUUGUAUAUGAAAAUAUUAGCGUCUGUGCUUCUAUCUCACAGAUAUUUGUGUGACACCACUCAAAAAAAAUAAAAUCACAGUAUAAAUGCAGCAGAUUCACUGAAACAAAUCAACAGCAUUAAAUACCCACAGAUAUUGGUAGGGACCACCUUAAAUACAUAUGGACAUGUUUCUGUAAAGGAAAAAGACUAUAAAGAAAUCAAUGUAAAAUUUCAAUGUAGAUAUUAUAUGGAAGCGUGUAGGAAUUUAAUAAUGAAUUUCUCACAAGAUAUUAGUAAACAAAUCAGGUAAUGUGAUGCCCUGAAAGCCCCCAGAAAUGCCUAGAGUUCAUUUUAAAUAGAAAGUGUUUAAAUUAUUCCAGCUCUUUAAUACGUAAGUACAUAUAAAAUGUAUAACCCAGAAUCUCUCCUUAUUCAAAACCAUUCCCACAUGUAUAAAACCUUAUUUCACACACGUGCAUAAAUACACUGAUGGAGGCAUCUAUUUUAGGGUUGUUUGCCCACUCUGAACAGGGUGGGCUGCUAAAGGGGGUCAUGUUUCUGCCAGC